rnacentral:lncRNA from 1 species
UACCUACUUGUACUCAUCACCUCCUCCUCCCAAGAAGCCCUAUUAUUAUCACUCUCCUCCACCACCUUCACCUCCUCCACCUAAGCCAUACUACUAUCAUUCACCACCACCACCUUCACCUCCUCCACCCAAGCCAUACUACUAUCACUCACCACCACCACCUUCACCUCCUCCACCUAAACCAUACUACUAUCACUCACCACCACCACCUUCACCUCCUCCACCUAAACCAUACUACUAUCACUCACCACCACCACCUUCACCUCCUCCACCUAAACCAUACUACUAUCACUCACCACCACCACCUUCACCUCCUCCACCUAAGUCAUAUUACUAUCACUCACCACCACCACCACCCAAAAAGAAGCCAUACUACUACCAUUCUCCCCCACCACCUUCACCACCUCCUCCUAAGCCAUACUACUAUCACUCUCCCCCACCGCCUUCACCUCCUCCACCUACGCCAUACUACUAUCAUUCUCCCCCACCACCCUCACCACCUCCACCUAAGCCAUACUACUACCAUUCACCACCACCCCCACCGAAGAAGAAGCCUUACUACUACCACUCUCCACCACCAC